rnacentral:lncRNA from 1 species
AAGACUAGUUAUACCAAAAUCUUUGAAGAAAACUAGCUAAAUUAUCUAGAUCGUUGUUCAUCAUAGGCAACAGGGAAUCCUAAAUCUCAUUUGAAGUAAAGGGUUUGAUGACUUUCUCAUUAUACCCAUAAGAUACUAGGAUAAGGGAUGAUUUAGUCCCAAAUUGCAUCGUAGCAUCAUUCUUAAUCAUUUUGUUAAAUAUCGAAUUUUGUAUGAUUUCUAAACUUCUUCUAGUCCCUCCUUGACCUCUAGAAUGAUGAAUUUCUGAGAAACAAAUAAAUUUUGGGAAAUGUAGGAUAUAUUAAAUUAAAUUAGCAAAUAGCAGAUAAAUCAUCAACAAAAUAAAUAUACAUAGAGAAGUAAAGUUAUUAGUAAUAUUUCAAAAUUCUAAUAGUAAAUAAUACUAGAGCUGAUCAUAGUCGGGCCUCGGGCCUAAACUCUAUUCAUUUUUAAUCAGGCUUCGGGCCGGGCCUAUGUAAUAUUUGAUAUUUUUUUGUGCACAAACCCAGCUCAUGAUCAACUAUGAAUAAUACUAAAAUAAAAUAAUUAUUAAUAAUAUAAUCAUAAAAAUAGUUAAUCUUGAUUAAUAAUAGUAUA